rnacentral:rRNA from 1 species
CGGAGGGUGCAAGCGUUAUCCGGAUUCACUGGGUUUAAAGGGUGCGUAGGCGGAUAGGUAAGUCCGUGGUGAAAUCCUGUAGCUUAACUGCAGAACUGCCGUGGAUACUAUCUAUCUUGAAUAUCGUGGAGGUUAGCGGAAUAUGUCAUGUAGCGGUGAAAUGCUUAGAUAUGACAUAGAACACCCAUUGCGAAGGCAGCUAACUACGCGAUAAUUGACGCUGAUGCACGAAAGCGUGGGGAUCAAACAGGAUUAGAUACCCUGGUAGUCCACGCCCUAAACGAUGAUUACUCGACAUUGGUGAUACACAGUCAGUGUCUGAGCGAAAGCAUUAAGUAAUCCACCUGGGAAGUACGAUCGCAAGAUUG